GGGUGCUCGCCGCCAGGCCCAUUCAUAAAACCGAGGCCGAGAGGAAGAGGGAGGCGGCCUCCGACCCGCCGCGAGCUGCAGGCAGCGCCCGGACUUUGUGAAUGGAGCGCGCGGCGCCUUUCGCUGUCUGCCCGCUGGCCCAGGCUGCGCCGCGCCUCCAACCCGACACCGGCACCUGUGCCGCCGCUACACCCCGCCGCUAAGCGGGCGGCGUCAAAGGAAUAUAGCCGGCUGAGGAGGCCGGGGCUCGGGUUUGAGCUUUCAUCCCUUUGCACCUUCGCGCUUCCCAGCGUGACAGCCCCGCAGGUCUCUCCCGGGUACCCAAGUGGAGAGGGGACCAGAGCGCCGCUGCCCACCCGGCGGGGCCCGGCACCUCCUAGCCCCAGACUCCCCAUGCGCUUUCGACACGGCCAGUCCUUUCUGAAAAUGCGAUUCCUGAGACGUAGUUUGUAUUAGCGUGAUCGAUUUUCAUCCAAAGCCAUUAAAUCAGUUUUAUAGCUUCCUCAGGAACGUGGGCAACCCCCUGCUUGGAAGAUGAAAGAGAAAGUCCUCCCGCCCGAAGCCCAGGAUCCGAGUGAGCAUCCGUCUUCCCCAGUGGGUUUGCCUGCUAAAAAUAGAUGAGCAAUUGGUCUGAAACUACAAGGGAGCUAAGAUGAUGCAAAAGCUCUGUAGAAAAUCUGUGCCAUGGACGAACAACCGACCUAGAAUGGUAGCUGACCUAAGACAACAAAAUAUCUGAA